rnacentral:rRNA from 1 species
UUAACACUGAGGCGUGAUGACGAGGCACUACGGUGCUGAAGCAACAAAUGCCCUGCUUCCAGGAAAAGCCUCUAAGCAUCAGGUAACAUCAAAUCGUACCCCAAACCGACACAGGUGGUCAGGUAGAGAAUACCAAGGCGCUUGAGAGAACUCGGGUGAAGGAACUAGGCAAAAUGGUGCCGUAACUUCGGGAGAAGGCACGCUGACAUGUAGGUGAAGUGAUUUACUCAUGGAGCUGAAGUCAGUCGAAGAUACCAGCUGGCUGCAACUGUUUAUUAAAAACACAGCACUGUGCAAACACGAAAGUGGACGUAUACGGUGUGACGCCUGCCCGGUGCCGGAAGGUUAAUUGAUGGGGUCAGCGCAAGCGAAGCUCCUGAUCGAAGCCCCGGUAAACGGCGGCCGUAACUAUAACGGUCCUAAGGUAGCGAAAUUCCUUGUCGGGUAAGUUCCGACCUGCACGAAUGGCGUAAUGAUGGCCAGGCUGUCUCCACCCGAGACUCAGUGAAAUUGAACUCGCUGUGAAGAUGCAGUGUACCCGCGGCAAGACGGAAAGACCCCGUGAACCUUUACUAUAGCUUGACACUGAACAUUGAGCCUUGAUGUGUAGGAUAGGUGGGAGGCUUUGAAGCGUGGACGCCAGUCUGCGUGGAGCCGACCUUGAAAUACCACCCUUUAAUGUUUGAUGUUCUAACGUGGAUCCGUAAUCCGGGUUGCGGACAGUGUCUGGUGGGUAGUUUGACUGGGGCGGUCUCCUCCUAAAGAGUAACGGAGGAGCACGAAGGUUGGCUAAUCCUGGUCGGACAUCAGGAGGUUAGUGCAAUGGCAUAAGCCAGCUUGACUGCGAGCGUGACGGCGCGAGCAGGUGCGAAAGCAGGUCAUAGUGAUCCGGUGGUUCUGAAUGGAAGGGCCAUCGCUCAACGGAUAAAAGGUACUCCGGGGAUAACAGGCUGAUACCGCCCAAGAGUUCAUAUCGACGGCGGUGUUUGGCACCUCGAUGUCGGCUCAUCACAUCCUGGGGCUGAAGUAGGUCCCAAGGGUAUGGCUGUUCGCCAUUUAAAGUGGUACGCGAGCUGGGUUUAGAACGUCGUGAGACAGUUCGGUCCCUAUCUGCCGUGGGCGCUGGAGAACUGAGGGGGGCUGCUCCUAGUACGAGAGGACCGGAGUGGACGCAUCACUGGUGUUCGGGUUGUCAUGCCAAUGGCACUGCCCGGUAGCUAAAUGCGGAAGAGAUAAGUGCUGAAAGCAUCUAAGCACGAAACUUGCCCCGA